GACGAACGCUGGCGGCGUGCCUAACACAUGCAAGUCGAGCGGAGAUGAUGUGAGGAAGUUUUCGGAUGGAAUCACAUUAUUUUAGCGGCGGACGGGUGAGUAACGCGUGAGCGACCAACCUUGCACAGGGGGAUAACGGACCGAAAGGUUCACUAAUACCGCAUGAGACCACGGUGUUGCAUGACACAGGGGUCAAAGGAGGAAUCCGGUGCAAGACGGGCUCGCGUCCGAUUAGGUAGUUGGAGGGGUAACGGCCCACCAAGCCUAUGAUCGGUAGCCGACCUGAGAGGGUGAUCGGCCACAUUGGAACUGAGAUACGGUCCAAACUCCUACGGGAGGCAGCAGUGGGGAAUAUUGGGCAAUGGGGGAAACCCUGACCCAGCAACGCCGCGUGAAGGAAGAAGGUUUUCGGAUUGUAAACUUCUGUCCUUGGUGAAGAGAAGAAGACGGUAGCCAAGGAGGAAGCCCCGGCUAACUACGUGCCAGCCGCCGCGGUAA
rnacentral:rRNA from 1 species